rnacentral:rRNA from 1 species
GACGGAAGGUGCAAGCGUUGCUCGGAAUCACUGGGCGUAAAGGGUGCGUAGGCGGCCGUGCAAGUCUGGCGUGAAAGCCCCGGGCUCAGCCCGGGAAGUGCGCUCGAAACUGCGCGGCUCGAGUGCCGGAGGGGAGAGUGGAAUUCCCGGUGUAGCAGUGAAAUGCGUAGAGAUCGGGAGGAACAUCCGUGGCGAAGGCGACUACCUGGACCAGCACUGACACUGAGGCACGAAAGCGUGGGGAGCAAACAGG